CCAAUACAUAUUUAUACGGACGCUAGC
rnacentral:sRNA from 1 species